rnacentral:rRNA from 1 species
UACGUAGGGGGCAAGCGUUGUCCGGAUUUAUUGGGCGUAAAGAGCGUGUAGGCGGCCAGGUAGGUCCGUUGUGAAAACUGGAGGCUUAACCUCCAGCUGUCGAUGGAAACCAUCUGGCUAGAGUCCGGAAGAGGAGAGUGGAAUUCCUGGUGUAGCGGUGAAAUGCGCAGAUAUCAGGAAGAACACCCGUGGCGAAGGCGGCUCUCUGGGACGGUACUGACGCUGAGGAGCGAAAGCGUGGGGAGCGAACAGG